UUUUAAUUCUUUAUUUUUGUUGUGCAUAUGGUCACAAUAUAACAACAAAUGCCACAGCAGCGUGUUCCAAGUUUCAUACAAGUUAGUCAGUGGCAUGACAAUUUACACAAUUUUUAUAUUUAACAUGCUUAACUAAACAAUUAUUAUGUCUGUGUAGGAUUAAAUUAAAUAAAAUGAAAGAAAAUAAAAUGAAAGAAAAGAAAGAAAAUGAAAGAAAAUUAAGACAAAGAUGCUAGGUGUUAAAUACUGCUAGGUCACCUAUGUUAUGGUGUAUGUAGUGUACCAUUUUUUAUUUUAUUUUUUUUUUAAAUAAAGCAUGCAUAACAUAACAAUAUAAGUAUUAAAGUACAUCUAAUACCUCAAAUUCACAUCAAGAGUGUAUAAAGAGUGCUUAUUUUUAUAUUCUGGAGAUAGAUAAUCUGGUCACCUUCAUGAAGUCAAUACCAUUGAUAGAGUACAUAGAAUUGGUCAACAUAGAGAAAAAUGACAACAAUCAAGUUUCUGCUGUUUGGAAUACGACAGGAACUUAGGUCUCCCAUCCCAGUUUAGUCAUAUUCUCGAAAUAUUGCUAGAUUCUAGUGAUUACAUACAGAUUCGAGAAAUGGUGGUACUAAGCAAUAAUCGGUAGUCCCAUUAAGGAACACGGGAAUCGUUCGGGGGAAGGAAGAGUGAGCAGUAGUGUGGUGGUAGUGUUGCAACAGUUGUGACAUAAUUUGUUCAGUUUCGAGGCAGUGAGUUGUAUGUUUGAGAUUGAGAUAGCCCCUGUGUCUAAGUGUGCUAAGGACUUAUUGGGGGAGUAUUGUGGUAUUAGGUUGUUUAGGAGUUAAGGAAUGAGAUCCAAGGUUCCCAGAUUUUGGAAUAUGUUUGGAAGUUUUUAGAUUUAGCGUGUGUUAUCUCUUCCAUCUGUCUAAUUCCCUCCACUCUCCCUAUCCAUUCAUUAAUAGAGGGUGAUUGAGGUUGUUUCCAAUAUUUAGGGAUCCAUUGUGAGAAUGCCAUAGUUAGAAAGUUGAAGAGAGCCACCUGUUCCUUACGUCGGCCUCCUGGUGGAAGAAGGAAGAUGUAGUUGUAGUUGAGGAUUGAAGGGGAUUUUACUUCCAAUGAUUGUUUGGUUAAGGGUAUGUAUUCUAUUUCAGAAUUUCUCUAUUAUAGGGCAUUGCCACCAGAUGUGCGAAUGAUUAGCUACCUCGUGUUGACAUCUCCAGCAUGUUUCUGUGGAUGUACUAUAUAUUUUGUGUAUUUUCAUUGGUGUGUAGUGCCAGCGGGUGAUCUGUUUAUAGUUACUUUAUUGAGCUAUGGUAGAAGUGGUUGAUUUGUGGGCUACUCGGAAAAUAGUGUUCCAAUCUUGUUGUGAGAGGUCUACUUGUAGUUCUUCUGCCCAUUGUAUGAUGCUCUUCCCUAGUUAAAUUGUACAUGGUGGAAAGUAAUUUUUUGGUGAGAGGAUGUGUGUCGCAUAGUUGCUCGAAUUUAGACAGGUCUCGUGUUCUCCUUGUUAUGAGAUCUUGGCUUUUGGUAAAGUGUGUUAAUUGAUUAUACUGGAGUCUUUGAUUGCCUGUCGGUAUGGAGCCUCACACGCUGAAGCCACAACUUGGAUGGAUCUUAGAUGGAAAAGGAGAAAGUUUAUAGCUUUGCAAAGCAGCGGCGCUGCUUAUAAAUUACUCUGAAAAGAGAGAUG
rnacentral:lncRNA from 1 species